GUGUUUCUGAAGGAACCACAAGUCCUUUAUGGGCUUUAUGAAUUAUUUAGCCUUUGAAAAUUAUACAGCCUUUAUGGAUUUUAUGUUAAAUAUCCUUCCAAUCAGGUUUCCUCUGUGAAGUGACUGCAUAAUUCCUUCUUCUAUGCUAGUUAUUCUUUGGAUUUUAUAUAUUUUGUCUUUGACCUUUUGAACUCUCUUUUGUCUUUGAUGUUUUUCCAUCCAGCAAAUGAGUGGUUAGGGCCCUGCCAGCCCUUCAGGAUUUCAGGAGUUGUGGUAUUUGAUGUAUAAUGUUUAUUUUUUUUUUAAUCUAAUACUAGUUUCGAAGUUCUGCCUCCAUUCUCCUUCUUGCCCUCUGAGUUUAACUAUCACUUAACUGUGUUGUACACAUUUUAAUCUUUCUUCAUGUAUCACCUCUGAAUCCUCUUCAAAUGUUCAGUCUUUUUUGCCUACUGCAUUUUGGGUGCAGUGACUUAUAUACAAAAAUAUGAUAAUGCUGACAUUGGCCACAACUAAAUCUGACCUCUCACAGCUGCAGGCAGAGACAAUUUUGGGUUUUUUUUGCUCUGUUGUCUUUGUGCAUGCCACUCAAAGUAGCUGUGAAGUUUUGGGAGAAGAGCUACUGCAGUCCAAAGUAAUGCCUCAUUUGUUUUGACACUUUGCUUUUUUACAUCAGCUUUUCCCAAAUCAUUUUACAGGAAGCCUGUAUUUGGGAAUUUCAUUCGACAGGUUAUGUUCUUUUAAAUUAAUCCUUUAUUUCCUUUCUACUGCUGCAUUUCUCCACACUUAGUUUUAAAUACUGACAAUUUAUCACCUAGAAAUUUAAUGAAGGAGGUGUUUAUCCCCAAAUUAUUAAUGGCAAUCAUUAGAAAAUCAGGGCUGUGCUUGUCUUGGACACAAGCUGUGAAUAAUUGAGUGGGUUUAUUCCUUACCUGUUCAGGCAGACACUGGGUACUGGAGGGGGAAAAAGGAUGGAUUUGUGUGCAUAGUGAAGAAUACAUCUGGAAUAUAGCUAUUAAUUGAUAUCUGAGAGCUUAUCUCCUAACAGAAUAAUGGAAGAGGUAGAAAGGGACAUGUUGAUAUCAUAGCAUCUGCUGUCCCUUGCUUGAGCAGAGUCAGCUAGAACAGAGAGUGUAGACACUCUCUAGUUUACAGACAGACUGUAGAGUAUCUAGUCAGGUUUGGAGUAUCUCCACUGACUGAAGCUUCCCAGCCUCUCUGGAAACAUUACUUCAGUGUUUGGUCUCCUUCACAGGUCUUGCAUCGAAUUUUGUGUCUUAAUUUGUGGUUCUCUUGUCAUGUCACUGGCUACUCCUAAGAGGAGAGCAGCUCCCUGUUCUUCAGUGCCUUUUAUCAGGUAUUUAUACAGAUCAGUAAGAACCUCCUGAGCCUCCUCUUCUUGAGGACAAACAGCCACAGCCCUCUCAGCCUCUUCAGAGGCUCCUUUUCCUUACUGGUAUUCACCAAUGUCUGUCUUGUAUUGGGGAGCCCAGAACUGGAUAAGCCAUUUCAGUUGUGCUGAAUUCACUGAUUUUGAGUAGGGGGAAAGGAUAGCACUCAAAACUGCCAGACACAUUCUUCCUAGUGCAGCCCUGGGUGCUGUAGGCAUUCUUUGCUUUGAGGUUUCAUUGCUGGCUUCUGAUGAGCUUGUCAUUCCUCCCCAGGUGCAGGACUCUGCAUUCCACCUUGUUGAAUUACCUACAAUGUCCUCUCUGCCUGAUUCUUCAUCCAGUCCAGGUCUCUGUGAGGGGCAGCUUUGCCAACUGCUGUCAGCUACUCAAGUUUAUCUACAAAUUUGC